ACCAUUAUUGCGCUUCAUAGUUGUGCAACCGUUCGAGAACAGUAGUCGAACUUCUACAAUUCCAAGAUAUUUGUUUGACAAUAAUUUGAGAAUUACAGCCUAAGACUAUAAUUCAGGGUAAACUGAAGUUUCCAUAACUUGGUACUGAGACACGUCACUAGCAGUUUUCAGGAAAGGAAGUUUACAAAAAGCUGUUGAUUUGUAUACUGGGAUUGGCACGUAAAUUAAUUUAUCUAAUUACGUUCACAUAAUCUCUUUAAGCAAAUUGUCGAUGCUCAAUUAGUUUCAUUAAUUUUAUUGUGGUAAACAAACAGCGGACUCACGUUCAGUUUGAACUCGAUUAAAUUCGAUUUGGUGAAAUGAUGUUUCAUGUCGACAUUAAAUGUCUCGUGUUUCAUAUGAAGAUGUUAUCAGGUUCUAUAAACAUUCCUCUUGAAAAUUGAAUGGACUAUGAUAUUAUGCAAAUGCAACGAGGGAACAAACUCCUUAUAAAACUUAUAUUUCAUUUAAUCGUUAAAAAUGUCCGUCUAACUUAAAUUUAACUAUACUCAUUUUCAGACAGUAUUCCAUUUUGCUAUACAACAGAGAAUAAAUAACGUCUUUCCAAACUAAUAACGACAUGUGUUGAACAAUCCCAGCUUUGCCUCUUAACUUCUUUCUCGGGUCUCACUUGAAUUCGGAAAUUACAAGUACCUCCACGUAGAUCUCCGCGCGUGACCGGAUUAUCAGGUUUUAAAUCCGUCCCACGUAACAGUAGCACAGAGAGAGAUAGCAGGAGGACAUUUUUUCCGGAGUCGGUGCUUUUAAUUAUUGAAUUGGACACAUUCUAACGAUUGGAAUUGGAACGUCGAAGUAAAAUACGCCACGCCAAUUAUCGACAGUCGAGUUGACUGAAUAAUGCAUAAAGGUGACAGCCGUAUCGAUCCCUGAUUCUACUUAUAGUUUGAUUGUUGCUAUAUUUCAUCCUCCAACUGUUACAAAUGAAUUCUCAUUCGCUUUGAAACGAACGUGUCACGAUGAUAAAGUAAAUAAGCAUACGCGUACACA